GCUCUGUGAUGAACCCCAUGCGUGUCAUCUGAGCCUGGCAUCCCUGUUGCCUCAGCCCAGGUAGUGUUCUACUUUCCAGGGCUGUUGUCUGACUUGGCAGGGGUCAGGGCAAAGGAUCAAUCUUUACGUUCUGAGAGC
ensembl:snoRNA SNORD10 small nucleolar RNA SNORD10